rnacentral:rRNA from 1 species
CACGUAGGGGGCAAGCGUUGUCCGGAUUUAUUGGGCGUAAAGAGCUCGUAGGCGGUGUGUCGCGUCGGCCGUGAAAACCUGCAGCUUAACUGUGGGCUUGCGGUCGAUACGGGCAUCACUGGAGUUCGGCAGGGGAGACUGGAAUCCUGGUGUAGCGGUGAAAUGCGCAGAUAUCAGGAGGAACACCGGUGGCGAAGGCGGGUCUCUGGGCCGAUACUGACGUGAGGAGCGAAAGCGUGGGGAGCGAACAGG